UUCAGAAUCUUUAGUAAUAACUUCGUCGUUCUCUUGUUCUGAACUCUAUUUCGAAGAAAAAAAAGACAAUUCAAAAUGAAUUUUCUACACAUUUUCGCUGUGGUAGCCAUGAUCUUGGCUUUGGCCACUGGACAAAUUGAAGCCAAAGGUCGUGGUGGUGGCAACAAGGGUCACUACAUUAGGGGUGGUGCUCAUGUGGCCGGCAAGGCUGUUGAAGGUCUUGGUGCUGCCGUUGUUGAUAAAAUUGGAUAGAUUCAUCAUCGAUUCAGCAUCGUUAAUCUUAUACUAAAUUGUAUAAAAUCAAAAGAAGACAAUAAAUACUUCUUAAUAUUGAGGUAAAAUAAAUAACAAUUAAAAAACAAAUUCAAGGACUGAAGAAUUUUUAUGAAGCACCUAAAUUCAGGAACUCCAGGCAAAAAUGUGAUUUUUUACAGAAUUUUUCUUAAGGACAUAAACUUGUUUUUUUCUCAGGAUCUUCCAGCCGGUAAAUGUGGAUAAAGAACUGUUUUAAGUUAUCAAAUGGGAUCUACAAGCCAAUAAAUCUUGAUUUAUCAAGGGCCUUCAGGUUAAUUAGGAUCAGGAUUUUUAAAAAGUUUUUUUUUUAUCAAGGAUCUACAGGCCAAUUAUUUAUGGAAUUUUCAAGAGUUUCUUUAUCAAGGAUCUACAGAUCAAUUACCAUGGAUUUUUAAAGUUUUUUUUAUCGGGGAUCUACAGGCUAAUUAACGUGGAAUUUUCAAGAGUUUCUUUAUCAAGGAUCUACAGGUCAAUUACCGUGGAUUUUUAAAGAAUUUUUUCAAGGACAUAAAGUGAAAAAACGCGCAUUUACGAAUGCUUUUCAAGGGCAUACCGGCUAAUACACCUGAAAUUUGAAAUAUUUUUUUUGCAAGGACAUACCUGCUUGUAAACGUUGAUUUGACUUUUUUGUUUUUCAACGACGUACCGGCUAAAGAUGUUCUAUAAAGGAUUUCAAGUUCAUUUUGAAGAAUUUUUUUUAUCAAGGACCUACAGCCAGUAAAGUAAAUUUUUAAAGAAAUGUGUUUAAUAAGGAACACAAGGACAAUAUGUAAUGUGGUUUUUAUCAAUUUUUUUCUAGCCAGUAAACGUAGAUUUUUAAAGAACUACUAAUGUAGGGCCUACAGGCCAAUAAACGUGAAUAUUUUAUGAAUGUUUUAUGAAGGACAUACAGUCCAAUAAAUUUUGAUUUUCAAGGAUUUUUUAUCAAGGACCUACUGGCCACUUAACGUGGAUUUAUAAAUUUUUUUAGGGAUAUACAGGUGAAUGUUGUUCUGCGGUAUUUUAGCUCAUUCCAACCGAUUGGAAUCCGGAGAUUUUGGUGGCCAUUGUGCGCUGAAAAUGAAGCCAGGAACCUUAUCUUGUGCGAUGGUGCCGUUGGAAUGUCCAAGGUCUGCGGCCAAAAUCUUUGCGUUCCCAAUGCUUUAAUAUAGCCUUCAGAAUAUUUUCGAGAUAAUAUUUGGCAUUUAUUCUAAUGCCACUGUUAUGGCGGCCCACACCAUCAACAUGGGCGUCGCUUGAGUUCUGGUGACCAACCGAAGGUGCACAUUUUCAACUGACCUCUUUGGCAAGUAAAAACGAUCAUUUUGUUUGUUUACAAACAGCUGGACAAGGAAUGAUUUCUCAUCGGAUAAACCCCAAUUCGGCAGUUCACCACUUUCGGCCAAGCGAAGCAAUCCUUUAGCUGUUUUGAAUAUAGAAUAGUGUUGGCUUGUUUGUUCGGGAUACUGUAGUAUUUUGUUGUUGCAAAAUGGUCAGGCUUUAUCCCUUUAUUGUUGUUUUUAUAAAAACAACGUUUGUUUAUUAGUGGAGAACGAUGGUAAAGUUUACCAGGGGGUAAUAAAGCCUGACCAUUUUGCAACAACAAAAUACUACGGUAUCCCGAACAAACAAGCCAACACUGUUCUAUUAAUAGACAAGGCACGGUCGACGAAGGGUUUUUUUGUUUUAACAGACAAAAUCAACUUACAUGGUUAUGCUACUUCGUUCAGGUUGAACGACAGCAUAACAAGUGGAGAAAGAUGUAAAUGUUUAUAAGUGCGGUUGUAAGAUUUAGAAGACUUUCCAAAAGAAUUUUAGUUUUAUUUAAUUCUUUGGUUCCUCUUCUAUUGAGCUUACGAUCUUGUCACUUGGGUAAAAAAUGUUUUUUGUCAUAGAAGUUAUUUUAAAAAUAACUUCUGGGGAGAAUAUCCCAGACAAAAAACAAGGGAACUGAUGAGGAUUGGUGGCUCUUUCCGAAACCUAGGUAUUCCCUGCCUUACCCCCUGGUAAACGUUUUGAAUAUAUUUUCUUUCUGUUGCGGUGUAAGUUCUUGCACUCUUUAGAAUUUAUGGCCUUACCUCGAGCUUAUUUUUCACUAUUUGCCGAAUGAAAUAUUGCGAUAUGUUCAGCUCACGAGCAGUUUUUCGGCCACUGCGACGCGGGUUUCGAUCAAGUCGCUUCUUUACUUUUCGUACCAUUUCUGCUGAUGUUGCUGGUUUCUUCCGUCCACUUCCUUGACGUCGGGUUGUACUACCAGUAUCGCGGUAACGAGAGAUGGUACGAAACACAAAAGAUUUAUUCACAUUUAAAUGCUGGAGUGCUCUAACGAUAGCCACUUGUGGGUUUCCAGCCAAAUGUUAAAAAAAUCACACUAUCACAACUGAAUUCCAUCACGAAAAACUUUUUUUCUGGAAAAUUCUCACCAAAAUGCUUUUGUACGCUUGUAAACAAUAUAAUGAGCUGUCACUGGAAUAAUUUUAACAGCUGUCGGCCGAGUAUUUUAGAAAUGACAGCAGUCUGAAGUUGGUUGCAGUUUUUCAUCACACUGUGUUGAUUGGCCUGUAGGUUCUUCACAGGACCUACAGGACCAUCAACAUAAGUUUUUUAAGAAUUGUUUUAUGAAGAACCUACUGGCCAUUAAACGUGGAUUUUUAAAAGAUUUUUUUUCAAGGAUAUACAUGCUAAUAAUCGUGUAUUUGAAAAAAAAAAAAAAAUAUCGAGUACCUAUAGGCCAAAAAACCUAGAUGGUUAAAUACUUUUUUAUAAAGGACAUACAGGUAAAUAAACUAGCUUUUUUUUUUAAAAAUUUGGUUUUUUUUUUUAAGAAAAUUUGAAUUCCAAAGAAUCUUAAUUCGCCAAAUUUAAAAAAAAUUAGAAGAGUGGGUAAGUUAUGCUCCUACUAUUUAGUUUAAUUUUCGUUAUAGGUGUCCUCCAUAUUUAGUCUACAUUCUUUAUCUACCAGAGUUAUUGAAAAUUUGGAAUUUUAUCGCACAAUGUUGUUAGACUUCUUAUUUUUGUGUUAUACACGUCAUCGAUAAUUUUUAAAUUCAGUCUGUAAGUUAGUGAUAUGCUCCCCUGCGGAGAAAAAUGAUUUCACAAAAAAAAAAAAAAAAAAAAAAAAACAUCUACAUAUAUUAAGAAACCUAUACCAUCAACUAAUCCACCUGUGCUUUGCAAAACUAAAUAAACAAAGUCGAUUUGUUUACUAAUACACAAAUAUAAAACGAAGAAGAUUUGAGAAAAAAUUAUUCAAUCAAGUUUCUACUCUCGUCAAGAACAGAUAUAGAAUUUUCUUCUUCGAUAAUGAUGUUGUUUAGGUGCUGCCUUACUUUUUUAUUCAUUGUGAUUUUGGCCAUUUCUUUGCCAAACAUUGCUGCAGCCCAGAGACGUAGGCCAGGGCAAGAGAACAGUUCCUGGAAUUCGUUCUA